CGGGGCGUAGCGCAGCCUGGUAGCGCGCCUGCUUUGGGAGCAGGAUGUCGGAGGUUCAAAUCCUCUCGCCCCGACCA
rnacentral:tRNA from 13 species